rnacentral:rRNA from 1 species
UAAGCACCGCUACUGUGCCGCAUCGGUCACGUUCCGAAUCACUGGUUUAAGGGUGCGAGGCGGCAAGCAGGGUGAAACUCAUACUGUGAUGUCUUCUGAAUAGGAGAGGUGGCGAUGUGAUGUGGGGAAAUGCAUAUAUAUAGACACCAUUGCGAAGGCAGCUACUGGCUUUGACGCUGAGGCACAAAGCGGGGGAUCAAACAGGAUUAAUACCCUGGUAGUCCCGCCCUAACUGCUCACUCGCUGUUUGGGAUGUGUGAUAGCGAUAAGGAGCACCUGGGGGUACGUUGCAAGAAUGAAACUCAAAGGCACAAGUUUAUCGCGGAGAACUUACCUGGCUAGGUGGAAAGAACAGGUCUGCAUGGCUUUCAGCUCGUGCCGUGAGGUGUGGGUUAAGUCCCCAACGACGCACCCCUGUCUUAGUUGCACGGACUCUAAAAGACUGCCAGC